rnacentral:lncRNA from 1 species
GUGCAUUUAUAUAACUAUUUUUUGUAUUUUGUACAUUCCAGAUCUCAAAGUCAAAUAUUUAUAUUUUUAGUGACAAAUUAAGGUAACACAUCUCAUGACAUUAUAGAAAAAAGAAAAGUAACAUUAGGUCACAUGUUAUUAUAGAAUAGAUACAAAGGUAACAUUAGGUCACAUGAUAUUUAUACAAUAAAUGCUUUAGUACUAAAUUUGAAGCUAAAAUUGACCACAUUUAUGUACUAAUAUUUAGUUUUCUAGUCAAACUGUGCAAUUUAUUUUAUUGGUAUUCUACACAUUUUGUUGUUUAGUUUAUAAUUAAUGAUUUUGACUUAUUAGUUGUAGGUUAACUUUUCUGAAACUACGUCAAUUUAUACCAUUGUGUUAUACUCAAUUUUAUUUUGUUUUUUUAUGGUCACAUAAUUUUCUAAAAUUAAGGCCACACAAUUUUAAAUGUUAAACAUGUGUCUAGUUUAAUAAUUAGGAGAUGUGUCAAUAUUGUUAUUUAUUUUUUGUUAAGCAAAUUUUGAUACAUUGUAAUUCGUAUUGUAUCUAGAUUGCCAAUGAUAUCUAAACUAAAUGGUCCAUACAAAAAAAAUGAUAUGGAUAGGGAAUGUCACAAAUAUGCAUUUUCUUUAUGUUAAAUAAUUUUUAAAGGGCCUUGCUAAAACCUUUAAACGCUAGAGAAUUGUCAGACUCCUAUUAAAGUACAGCUUUGCAAUCUAUAAACCCCAGAUAAAUUCAUUUCUAUCAUUUCUGAAUUGACUAAUAUUUUUGUUAUUUUUCAAAAUUAAAAAAUAUUUGUAAAGCAAGAUUUACUUGAAUCCAAAUUAGCAUGUAUCAAGUUACAAAAGGUAAAAUGAAUAUAAAGCAGCCAUUCAAUGAUUGUUUUCCAUUACAAGUUGUCAAUGUCAUGAUUUUUUUAGUUUCCCCAAACAUUGUUGUGGUGAAUUGUCUGAGAAAUAAGGUAAAAAUGUUUAGUUAACAGAAAGUAAAUAUACAAUUAGAGUGGGGCGCUCAUAUUUGCCUUGGACACAAUUUCAACGUUUAAUAUUUUUGAGGUGUAAAAACUUCAAAGGAUGGUUGAAUGGAAGAAAUAUGCCGGUUAAUUAUAUUUUUAUAGCAAACAUGAUUAUUUUUGAAAAUGAAACAAAAUUUCGGCACUUACCGCAAAGGACCGAAAAACGGACAACGAUUUUCAGCCAAUUUCCUGAAUGAAAAAAAAAGAUUUCAAAGAAGUAUUUAUAAGUAAUUCUUUGACUGAUUGCCCUAAAUUUCAGUUUUUUACACCUUUCAAAUGUUUGCUAUUCAUCUAUAAUGAAAUUUAUUUGAUAAAUAUUGUUUAAAGGCUGCAGUUAUUUGUGUUUAUAAUAUGAUUUAUAAAAACGGCGAAUAUGUGUCCCUGUUGACAAAAAAUCAUGAAAUUUCAAACACCCUUUAAUCACACUUUUCAGAUGAUUUUUCUCAAAACAAACACGUUUUCAAGCUAAGAAUAUUUUGCAUUUGAAGUUAUCUUCAUAUAGAAAUAUCAGUAUACUUAAAAAACACAAAGACCUGAACAUAAACUGAAGAAAACAUGGAAAGAUAUGGGGAAAAUGAGCACCCAACUCUACAAAUUUUAUAUAGAAUGAUAGUAACUUGUAAAUUGUGCACAUGAGAUGAUGAAAUCUAAAUGAUAGAAUGCACAUUUAGACACCAAGAAAUAUUAUAUAUAAAAUAAAACACUGCCUGGAGAUAAAAACAUUUAGACACCAUGAAAUAUAUAAAAUAAAACAUGGCCUGAAGAUAAAUAGAAAGAAAAUAAAACAGCACUGUUAUUCCUUGUUUUGAAAAAUUUCAAUAUGGAACAAUAUUUACUAAGUUUUAUUUAUGAAAAAUAAUGAGAAAAUAGAAUGGCAUAUUUGUGUUAAUCAAGUAACUUAUCUAAGUCAUAUCUACAAG